AAUAAAAAUCAGAAAUAAAAAAUAGGAAAAACGUGAGGCGUUGGAUAUAAGCUCAUUAAUUAAGCUGACGCAUCCAACGGUUCCCAGGCGCGCAUCCACCAAACACGCUAGUCAAUGCAAAACAUGCAGCCAUUAAAAAGUCAUAAGAAUGGAGAGACCAGAUUAGAUCUGGGAAAUAAAUCCAACGGCCAUGGUUUGAUCUAGCAAC
rnacentral:lncRNA from 1 species